rnacentral:rRNA from 1 species
CCCUUAGAUGUUCUGGGCCGCACGCGCGCUACACUGACGAAUGCAACGAGCUUAUAACCUUGGCCGAAAGGUCUGGGUAAUCUCCAAAUUUCGUCGUGAUGGGGAUAGAUUAUUGCAAUUAUUAAUCUUCAACGAGGAAUGCCUAGUAAGCGCAAGUCAUCAGCUUGCGUUGAUUACGUCCCUGCCCUUUGUACACACCGCCCGUCGCUCCUACCGAUUGAAUGGUCCGGUGAAGCGCUCGGACCGCGGCCUCUUGACGGUUUUCCGUCGAUUGGCUGUGGGAAGUUCGUUAAACCUUAUCAUUUAGAGGAAGGAGAANCCGUANCA